rnacentral:rRNA from 1 species
GACGAACGCUGGCGGCGUGCUUAACACAUGCAAGUCGAACGAUGAAGCCGCUUCGGUGGUGGAUUAGUGGCGAACGGGUGAGUAACACGUGGGCAAUCUGCCCUGCACUCUGGGACAAGCCCUGGAAACGGGGUCUAAUACCGGAUACGACCAUCGGCCGCAUGGCCUGGUGGGGGAAAGCUCUGGUGGUGCAGGAUGAGCCCGCGGCCUCUCAGCUUGUUGGUGGGGUGAUGGCCUACCAAGGCGACGACGGGUAGCCGGCCUGAGGGGGCGACCGGCCACGAUGGGACUGAGACACGGCCCAGACUCCUACGGGAGGCAGCGGUGGGGAAUAUUGCACAAUGGGCGCAAGCCUGAUGCAGCGACGCCGCGUGAGUGAUGACGGCCUUCGGGUUGUAAACCUCUUUCAGCAGGGAAGAAGCUUUCGGGUGACGGUACCUGCAGAAGAAGCACCGGCUAACUACGUGCCAGCAGCCGCGGUAA